GCGCAAGCCCCCAGACCCAACUAACCACAGAGUGGGUGGGGCCAAGGCAAUUGUGUUUCUAGCCAAGGCAACGGAAAAAGUUGUCCAGGGCUGUCCAGUGGCAAUAUAUAAUGUGAGCUGGAUAUGUAAUUCUAAAUUUUCUAUCAACCUUAGAAAAGAAACAGAUGAAAUUAAUUUUAAUAAUAUAUUUUAUUUAAUCUAAUCUAUCGAAAUGGUCAUUUCAAUGUCAUCAAUAUAAAAAUAUUAACAAAAUAAAUUCUCUUUUUUGUACUCUUUGAAAUAUGGUGUGUAUUUUAGACUGACGGCUCAUCUCUAUUUGGGGUAGUCAUGAUUCAAGUGCUGUAUUAAUUUUCAGCUGCUGCUCUGACACAUUCUCACAAAUUUCACGGCUCGAAACAGCACGAACUUAAUUAUCUUAUGAUUCUGGAGGUUAGAAGUCUGAACUGAGUCUUAUGGGGCUAAAUCAAGGUGUCAGCAGGGCUGUGCUCCUUCUGGAGGUUCCAGGGGAGAAUUCCAUCCAUGACUUUUUCAGCUUCUAGAGGCCGCCCGCAUUCCAUCUGUCCGUCCAUCUUCAAAGCACGUCCUUCUAUGAUCUGCAUCCCUCGUCCCAUCCUCUCUUGCUCUGCUUGGUCACUGAUUUGCCUUCUCUGACUCUCACCCUCCUGACUCCCCUUUUUACGACCCUCGUGAUUAUAUUGGGCCCCCCAAAUAAUCCAGGAUAACCUCCCCAUCUCAAGAUCCUUAAUCUCAUCUGCAAAGUCCCUUUUGCCGGGUAAGGUGGCAUAGUCACAGGUUUGGGGAUGAGGAUGUGGAUGUCUCGGAGGGCGGCGAUUCAGCCUGCCACACAUGCUUCAUGCCACAUGUGUGAGCGGCUGCUGUCCUGGAUGGGACAGUGUUAGGGAAUUUAGGCGGAAGGUCUAGCGAGAUUUCCUAGCUCCACGCUCCAGCUCAGCCACUCACUCACUGUGGGAUCUGGGACAGGUCACUCUAUAUGCCUGGUUGACUGUACCUUCCUUGUACAUAAAGUGGGGUUGGCAACAACCCAUGCUUGGGAAAAUGCAACAAGCUACCAGAGAGAUAAGUGCUUAUUUCACUGUAAAAGGAGAGGGGGUCCAACUGGCAGGUGGGAGGGGGCGCUGCCCUGUCGGGGGAGACUUGAAUGCUGGGUGGGUCCUCAGAGGCCUUGGGAUUUAGCUGCCUCAUUUUACAGAUGGGAAAACUGAGGCCCAGCAGGGAGAAGAGGCUUGCCAGAGGGUCCCCAGAGAGUUGGUAGCUGAGCCAGAAAGGGGAUCCUGUGGGUGCACUGCUCCCCACCAUGUCACACUGCCUGUCCCCUCUGUGACCUCAGCUUCCUCAUCUAUAAAACGCAAAUAAGAGCGGCAUAUUUUCAGGCCCGUUGUGAAGAUGCAGGGAUGUCUCAGGUGCCAAUGGUCAAACCAUGCCCGAGUCGAACUCUCACCUGCCCUAGGGGGCAAGGCUGCAGGCUGGCGGUAGCCAGGCCAGAGGCAGGAACAGAACAGGAAACCCAGGGUGGCUUCCGUCUGUCAGCUUCUCCCCUCCCUGCCAGCAUCCCAGCUCCAUCCUGAACCUCGGGCCGGGCAGGGCUGUCCUGUGGAGCUGCAAGGGGACCUCUGCACCAGAAGGAGUGGGUGCUGGCAUCCAUGACCGGGAUGCCACAGUGUACAAAGCUAGUGGCUUCUGAGACCUUGGCAUCCUCACAACACCAUGAAGUUAGAAUUUUCACCCACACGGCAAAAGUGGAAACUGAGGCUUCGCAAGUAGCGCGGGUAAG
rnacentral:lncRNA from 1 species